rnacentral:lncRNA from 1 species
CUUGAUUUCUCUCAAAAUUCAUCAAGAACAAGAAGAGGGUUUGCAAUUGGGGAUUUAAUUUCAAGAAAUUCUCUCCGUCGAUCUUCGUAAAAUGAAGAACUAAGGUAUGCUUAGUGUUCAUCCACGGAUUCCUUUCAUCCGUAGGAGUCCAAGAACCAUGCUUUAAAUACUAUAUUGUGAUUGUCUUGUUGAGAUAUGAUCAUGUACAUGUUGAUGGUUGUUGUUUAUGCUUUAAGAUAUUAAUUUAGGGUGAUUCUUAUGAAUUAUGUGUGCUUGUAGUUAAAACCCAUGAAAUUGGGUGGUUUUAGAUGACUAAAUUAUUAAGAACACCUAUGCCAUAAAGUGUGCAUGCAAGAUGUUUGAUGAAAUGCCUAGAAUAGGCAUAAUCAUGUUUUCAUGAUUUAAGAGUGCUCAAUUAACAAGUCCUUACUCCAUGUUUUAUGAUUUCACGUGACUUCCAUGUUGUGUGAAUAAAGUUUGAAUCUUUACAUGUUGUUCAUGAUACCAUGAUAUUUUGUGGAUUCAAUUGGUGGAAUUAAGUUGAAUUAUGGUGUUAUGGUGUAUAAAAUUGAUCAUUAGGCCUAUUUCCUAAACAGUGCAUGCAAGGUGUUUGUUAAAAUGCCUAAGUAAAGAAGAAUUAAGCACUUUGAUCUAUUUGUGAUCUGAGUGAUGAUUCCAUGCCAUAUCCAUGUGCUUAAGUUGACUCCCAUGCUAAAUCUAUGCCUACCAUGUGUUUGAUAAUGUGACUUAACGAAUAAAUGAUGAUCAAGUACCUAGUCUUCAUGCUCCAAGAUUUUGCCAUGUCUCUUAAGUUAUGCCAUGUCUACUUGAUCAAGAUGAUUUCUAUGCUAUUAAUGUGCUAUGAUUAUGUUGUUGGCUUGUCACGAUAUUAGAAUUGACCAUGAUGUUAGCUAUAUGAAAAGGUUAUGAAAACCACAUGAUUUAUGAAUUUCCCGUAGAUGCUAUAUUAUGGAUUGUUAAUGUUGGUCAAGUACUUUUGUAUGUCAAGUCAUGUCAGUUUCCUUCCAUCGAGUCCUGGGGGUAUUCGUACCCGAAAAAUAUAGCUGUAUGCCUAGAGCCAUGUCAUGUUUUCACGAUCCACUCAGUCAAGCCAUGUUCAGUAGACUUUAGUCAGCUAACAGAACUCAGUAGCAUUUAGUUAACAGAAUUCAGUAGUGUUUCUCUAGUCAUCGAAACUCAAUAAACUCAGUCCAUGUUCAGUUCAGUUAAACAGAAAAAUUAGUAACAGUUCAGUUAAUUCUAGUAUGAACUAGAAAGUCAGUUCAGUAUAACAGUUCAGUGUCAUUCAGUUAGGAGUAGGAUUCAGCACCGAGUGAACCCAAGGAUGGGAACUCACCUGCCAGUAGAGGGUGUGAUUCUUGGAAGCAGUCCUUGCAUUCCAGAAUUAUGUAGCCAGCAUAGGUUGAGACAUCAAUACCUAUCAUUUGAGGGUAGAUGAGGUGGCUUAACCUGUCAGAUGAGGGUUCCCACCAUUCUCAUUAGAGUACCUGCCAGAUAAGGGUCACUCAUAGCUUGUCCUUACCAGUGGCGCUGUAUUGGUACCCUUCCAAUCAGGGCAGAGAUUGGACCCCAGCUUAGCUAUUAUAGCGUAUUGGGGCAUGUCGGUUAGAUAACUACUUCCCACAAUUUUAGUAUCAGUCUCAGUAAAAAAACUCAAAUAGUUCUUCAGGAUAUUAGGACUGUCAGAUACAGUCAACUCAGAUACAAUACGGAACUCAGCUAGUUCUAUCAGAUUUAGGACUGUCAGAUACAGUCAUUCAUGCUAUCAGUUAUCCAAACUCAUGUUAUCAGAUAUAUCGGUUAUAAGAAUUCAGUUAUCAUUCAUGAUAUGUUAUCAGUAAAUAUGUGUCUUCAGUAUUCAUACUCAGUAGUCAUAUUAUCACAAGCUCAGUUUCAGGACUGUUAUAUACGGUCAAUCAAAUUAGUUCUUCAUAAUUAGAACUAUCAGAAACAGUUAUUCCUUUAUCAGUAAUACAGUAUCGGUCUCCCAGUAUUCAGUAAUACAGUAUCAGUUCCUCACUUAUUAGUGAAUUACGUAUAAAUAUCAGUAAACUCAGUCAUUUAGUAUCUCAAUAUUAGUAAACUCAGUCAUUCAGUAUCUCAGCAUCAGUAAACUCAUGAUGUCAGUAUUCAUACUCAGUAGUCAGUAUCACCACGAGUUUAGUUGCAGUUACGUAUGUAUGUAUUCUCACAUCUAUAUCAGUCAGCAUUGUUCAUGCAUAUAAAACCCUUUGCAUUUAGCCUACCUCACUCGUAUACUCAGUACAUUUAGUCGUACUGAUGCAUUUGUGCUAUGGUGUUUUAUUUGACGCCAUAGGUAUAGAGGCGCGAGUUUCAAAGCAGUAGUGGCAUUGCAGAUUUUAGCAGUCAGUGCUCCUCUUCAUUCGAGGACAAUAUUAUUAUUACUUUAUUACAGUAUUUCAGAUUAGUUUUUUAGUUCAUGGAGUUAGUUGGAGACAUGUUCCUUCAACUCCUUAUUCAGUUCAGUUAGAGGCUUUCAGACUAGAUGUCAGAUUAGAUGUUCAGACUUCAGUAUUUAUGUUUCUUUUUGGUAUUGUUAUACCAUGUUUUUUAGAUAUGUAUCAGUAUUGAACCUUAUGGCCUUAUAGUUCAUGUUUCUGCAUAUUUUAUGAGAUAUUAUGCAGUUUACACGUACAAAUAUCAGUCAUGGGUUAGCUUGUGGUCCUUCGGGAUCAUGAGCACCGUGUAGCAUUUCGUUUCAGAAAAUUGGGGCGUUACACUCCCUUAUUGAUACUCCAAUCCUUGUGGUAAACUUGGAUUGGAGGCUUGGCCAUCGAGUCAAGGGCGGAUUCCAUAUAGCCCAUGGAAUUACUGAAUUGUAGGGUGUACCAUCUAGCUCGACAGUAAAGCACAAAGCCGAGUCAUAAUUUCAAGAAAAUGUUUUGAAGCUCAUCAAAUUGUGCCCAUGUAUUUUCAAUAGUUUUAUGCUGACAUGCUUUAUGAAAUACUCUCACCUAUGUUGUAUAAAAAGAUAUUUUAUUUUUGGAUUGUUCUACGUACCAGUAUCUUUGUGUAUUGACCCACUAUAUUUCAGGUUCUGCGUAUAGUCCCAUGGUCUAUCACAUCAGUUUAACACUUGGGAUAUGACAGAAAUGGGUGAGCCAUCCAUCUUUCGGGAGGCAUUUACUUAUAUGUUGAGUCUUUUAGUACAUGGUCUAGUCGGGGGCUUUGUCCCGGCCUAGACAGUUAGGGGUCAUUUGGUAGAGCGUAUAAGAUAAUACUGAAUAGGUUGUAUUAGUAAUGCUGAGAUUAGUAGUGCAGAGAUUGGUAAUACUGGGAAUAGUAAUACUGGGAUUAUUUUUUAUGCAGUGUUUGGUUUGAUGUAUUGAAAACAAUACGUAUUGUUAUAUUUUAAAAAGAAUAUUUGUUUGUUUACAAAAAUACCCUCAACAUAUUAUAACUUUGUGUAUUUUCUUUUCAAAACUUUAUUAUUCUUUUUUUUUUAAAAUAAAAAAAUGAACAAUAUAACUAAUUAUUUACUUUGAAAUAAUUUUAAGAUUUAAUCAUUCACUUGCAAUUUUUUUUUUUUUUUGGGUUAUCUUUUC